rnacentral:rRNA from 1 species
UCCGGUGACCGUACCGAGAGGGCCACACCCGUUCCCAUCCCGAACACGGAAGUUAAGCCUCUCUGGGCCGAUGGUACUGCAAGGGCGACCUUGUGGGAGACUAGGUAGUUGCCGGGA